rnacentral:lncRNA from 1 species
GAUGAUUAAGCCAAUUUGCUUCUAUUGAAUAUAUCAUGUGAAAGUCAAAAGGUGAACAAAAUAUUCAUGUGAACUAAUAAAAUGUUGUAGUAUCUCUGAUAUAGACUAGAGACGAUGCACAUUUUGCUCUAUCAAUAUCAAGUUUAGCAUUUGCGAACUAUACAGCUUAUAAUAAUUGUUGAGAGUAUCCUUCAUCACAUUAACCUGAAAAAUAUAACACAGCAAGUUAAAGUGAUGCAGAUAUUGUUAACUUAAGUAAAUGAAUCUGAUUUCCGAGUAUAAUUUGUUUUGAGUUGAUAAUUACUGCAAGAAUCAUGUCGCCAGCCAGCUCACCUAUUCGACUGAGGAAUCUACUCUACUCAACUAAGGGGUGUUUGUUUAGAGUUUAAUCGGUCAGUCAUUCAAUGCGUUUGUUUUGAAUAAAAAUCGUCACUAUAAUGUUUUUGGCUUAUAGUUUUUGGCUGAAUGACUAUUGAAUGAAGUAUUUUAUAUAUUUUUUUUUACAAUAUUAACUAUUAUAUUAAGUAAUAUUAAAUAAAUUUACAACAAUUUAAAUUUUUUCAGUGAGGUAAAAUAAUAAAAAUAAGUUAUUCAGAUAUUUCAGACAUGUCAAUUAUCAAACAACUUUUUUAUUUCGUAUUCAUUCGUUUAGCUCAUUCAGAUUACUUAAACAUUCACAACUAUUUCAUUCAAUUUUAUAAAACACCCCUAAACCUUCAAAUUCCAAGCUAGUUGGAGUUGGCUGAGUAGUAGUUUACUUAAAUAAAAGUAUGCAUUCUUAAGGUUGAACUUAUACAAUGUAUUUGGCAAAUAGUGCUAUCUCAUGAUUGUGGUAGGGAAGGUAAGUUUGUAUAUCGAUUUAUUUCAACUUUUUUUAACAAGUAUAGGUCUCAAUUUAUAAAUUAGACCUUUUUGCAUUACAGAAAACACCAUAGUUUUCACCCUUGACUACAAUUUUGCUCUUCUUGUAAAAUAUACGGCAGUUCUAGGGAAGGUUACAUACUUUUUAAAUCACUCAUUCUGCACCAGCCAUCCCCAACACCAAGUUUCGAGGGUCAUGGAUGUGUCAAUAUAAUUUUCUUUUUUAUAUAUAUAUAUAUACACGAACUUUACAGGCACUAAGAAGAGAAAUUAUUAACUGCUUACCCGAGUAAAUUAGAAUUAAGUUGACCCUUUUGAGAUGUGCUGUCCAUCCACCAAACUUUUGAAUCAGAAGUCCACGACAUAGUUUACAACACCACUUGAAUCUACUUUUUCAGUUCAACCUGAAGGAUGAAACAGCCUGAAAGGACCAAAAAGAGAUCAAGAAAUUAUAAAAGGACUCCAAAUCUGAACAGUUUCCAAAUUUCAAAUAGUUUCUUAAAUGAUUCACUUGGUCUGGGUUACAGUUCUCAAGGCUGAAUUACCAACAUACACUUGCUCUCUAACCGGCCAGAUCAACUUGUUGCGGUAAUAGCUCACAAAUGUUGAACUGCAAAUAAAUUAUGAUAGCCUUCUAACAGGCCAUCUUUCCUAAGGGUACCUUGGAUCCUAGCUCUCAAAAGAUCAAGAAUACUAGGAAGCCUAAAAUCAGAACAUACAAACUUGUUUGCAAAAUAAAAAAAGAAAUACAGGGUUCAUAUGUAUUCCCAACAUUUUGCAAUUUUUGGUGAAGGAGAUGGACAU